UACGUAGGGGGCAAGCGUUGUCCGGAAUCAUUGGGCGUAAAGAGCGUGUAGGCGGCUUGGUAAGUCCGCUGUGAAAGUCCAGGGCUCAACCCUGGAAAGCCGGUGGAAACUGUCAAGCUUGAGUCCGGAAGAGGCGAGUGGAAUUCCUGGUGUAGCGGUGAAAUGCGCAGAUAUCAUGUGGGACGCCAAUGGUGAAAACAGGUCGCUGGGAGUGUGCUGACGCUGAGACACGAAAGCCAGGGGAGCAAACGGG
rnacentral:rRNA from 1 species